AAUCGAAUGUGCUUCAGGGGGAUUAUUUGAUGCCAAUGCGGUUAUUUGCUGAUGCGAAAAAUCUUUUCCUUCUUAAUUUAGCGACAGAUUAUGGAUAUUAGGGGAGGGGUUUAUGGAAAGGGAAAAAAAAUGUCCCAUCCAAUAUGCAUGUGAUUUUAGUAUAAAAAGAUAUGGCAUCAAGCAUCCAUUACCAUUCGAAAUACGACGUUUGGAUAUACCAUUUAACAACAAAGAAAUUUAAAAAACAAAACCUCCAAUAUGAGACAAAGUCUUUUAGUUCUUUUUUCUGUGGUGAUGGUGGUGUGCGUACUUUCUAGUAGCAUAUGUUUAGCGAUGCCAGGCCAUGGUAAUGGUGGAGGAUUUGGUGGUGGUGGUGGCAAACAUGGCGGAGGGAAUGAUAUUAUGGAAAUGUUGGCUGCUGGUCUGAUCGCCAAGCUUCUGUCUGAAAUGAAUAACAGAUGAAAACUUUGGAUUAACAUUCAAAGAAGGGUCAAAUACAGUAAUUGGAGAUGGUGAGCUGCCGAACUUUAAUGUCUGUUUUAGUAAUUUCUAUAAUUCUGUGCACUUUUACUCAAGCUUUACCUCAAGGAGGAGGGGGAGGAGGAGGAGGCUUUGGCGGUGGAAAGAAGCACCACUCUAGACUUGUAGAAAUACUAGCAGCAGGAUUGGUCGCCAAGAUGCUGACCGAAAAGCAUGGAGGUUGUCACCAUCACGGAUGAAUAUCUUUAGUUACUGUCACACUCUUCAUCAAAUUGCUUCAUUUUCAUUCUUUUGUAUAUAGCAACCCUUUUUUUUAUCAAAAUGUUAGAGAUAUCAUCUUGUACUUGUUUGUUCUAGCCAAAAUAAAGUAGUUUGUCUGU